UAGAUUUAGGGUUUGCAUAUAAAUAUAGCAUUAUCUCAUUUCAUAAGUUGAUUCUACUGUCUCCAGCUUCUUCCCUCUGCCGUUCGUCUGAAUUUGGAGACGCUCACUUGACAGAGAGCACUCGAACUUUUUUCGCAGCGUCGCCAUGAGAGCUAAGUGGAAGAAGAAGAGAAUGAGGAGGUUGAAGAGAAAGCGCCGAAAGAUGAGGCAGAGAUCUAAGUAGUGGCCGUUUUCUGAGGGAUGGUUUCGGACCUAGGGUUUUGGUUACUGUUUAGAUUUCUUUAUGUUAUCUUAGUUAUUUUUCUUGCGUAACCGUUUUGAAUUGUUUCUAAAUUGCUCUGUGAUCGAUACAUUUUGUUGUCUUUAAUCCAGAACUGGUUUUCCAGCUUUACAGUUUUUAUCUAGUGAUUUUUAUAUGCUAUAUAUUUGUUCUAA